GCCGCGUUGGCUCAAUGGUAGAGCGUCGCCCUCCUAUGACGCGCGUCACAACGACAGGCGAAGGCUGUGGGUUCGAUCCCCAUGCGUGGUA
rnacentral:tRNA from 2 species